AGAGUUUGAUCCUGGCUCAGAUUGAACGCUGGCGGCAGGCUUAACACAUGCAAGUCGAGCGGAGAUGAGGUGCUUGCACCUUAUCUUAGCGGCGGACGGGUGAGUAAUGCUUAGGAAUCUGCCUAUUAGUGGGGGACAACAUUCCGAAAGGAAUGCUAAUACCGCAUACGUCCUACGGGAGAAAGCAGGGGAUCUUCGGACCUUGCGCUAAUAGAUGAGCCUAAGUCGGAUUAGCUAGUUGGUGGGGUAAAGGCCUACCAAGGCGACGAUCUGUAGCGGGUCUGAGAGGAUGAUCCGCCACACUGGGACUGAGACACGGCCCAGACUCCUACGGGAGGCAGCAGUGGGGAAUAUUGGACAAUGGGGGGAACCCUGAUCCAGCCAUGCCGCGUGUGUGAAGAAGGCCUUAUGGUUGUAAAGCACUUUAAGCGAGGAGGAGGCUACUGAGACUAAUACUCUUGGAUAGUGGACGUACUCGCAGAAUAAGCACCGGCUAACUCUGUGCCAGCAGCCGCGGUAAUACAGAGGGUGCGAGCGUUAAUCGGAUUUACUGGGCGUAAAGCGUGCGUAGGCGGCUUUUUAAGUCGGAUGUGAAAUCCCCGAGCUUAACUUGGG
rnacentral:rRNA from 1 species